rnacentral:rRNA from 1 species
GGGCGAAGAAGUAUUUCGGUAUGUAAAGCUCUAUCAGCAGGGAAGAAAAUGACGGUACCUGACUAAGAAGCCCCGGCUAACUACGUGCCAGCAGCCGCGGUAAUACGUAGGGGGCAAGCGUUAUCCGGAUUUACUGGGUGUAAAGGGAGCGUAGACGGUAUGGCAAGUCUGAUGUGAAAACCCGGGGCUCAACUCCGGGAUUGCAUUGGAAACUGUUAGACUUGAGUGCAGGAGAGGUAAGCGGAAUUCCUAGUGUAGCGGUGAAAUGCGUAGAUAUUAGGAGGAACACCGGCGGCGAAGGCGGCUUACUGGACUGUAACUGACGUUGAGGCUCGAAAGCGUGGGGAGCAAACAGGAUUAGAUACCCUGGUAGUCCACGCGGUAAACGAUGAAUACUAGGUGUUGG